UACGGAGGGGGCAAGCGUUGUUCGGAAUUACUGGGCGUAAAGGGCGCGUAGGCGGCCAUCUAAGUCAGACGUGAAAUCCCCCGGCUUAACCUGGGAACUGCGUCUGAUACUGGACGGCUCGAGUUUGGGAGAGGGAUGCAGAAUUCCAGGUGUAGCGGUGAAAUGCGUAGAUAUCUGGAGGAAUACCGGUGGCGAAGGCGGCAUCCUGGACUAAUACUGACGCUGAGGCGCGAAAGCUAGGGGAGCAAACGGG
rnacentral:rRNA from 1 species